rnacentral:misc_RNA from 1 species
ACUAAAAGUCGUAACAAGGUAACCGUAGGUGAACCUGCGGUUGGAUCAUUACUGAUUACUGCUGUCCUAGGUUGAGCUUUUCGGAGCUCCCUAGGCAGUAUUUCACACUUUGUGCACCGAGAUUGUAUUUUGGGCUGGUUUCGGCCAGCCCAGCAUUCAAACACCUUUAAUUUAUACUGAAUUUUUUAUAUUAAAAAAUAACAACUUUUGACAACGGAUCUCUUGGCUCUC